rnacentral:rRNA from 1 species
UUAAGCGACUAAGCGUACACGGUGGAUGCCCUGGCAGUCAGAGGCGAUGAAGGACGUGCUAAUCUGCGAUAAGCGCCGGUAAGGUGAUAUGAACCGUUAUAACCGGCGAUUUCCGAAUGGGGAAACCCAGUGUGACUCGUCACACUAUCAUUAACUGAAUCCAUAGGUUAAUGAGGCGAACCGGGGGAACUGAAACAUCUAAGUACCCCGAGGAAAAGAAAUCAACCGAGAUUCCCCCAGUAGCGGCGAGCGAACGGGGAGGAGCCCAGAGCCUGAAUCAGCAUGUGUGUUAGUGGAAGCGUCUGGAAAGGCGCGCGAUACAGGGUGACAGCCCCGUACACAAAAGCGCACAUGCUGUGAGCUCGAUGAGUAGGGCGGGACACGUGGUAUCCUGUCUGAAUAUGGGGGGACCAUCCUCCAAGGCUAAAUACUCCUGACUGACCGAUAGUGAACCAGUACCGUGAGGGAAAGGCGAAAAGAACCCCGGCGAGGGGAGUGAAAAAGAACCUGAAACCGUGUACGUACAAGCAGUGGGAGCACCCUUUGGGGUGUGACUGCGUACCUUUUGUAUAAUGGGUCAGCGACUUAUAUUCUGUAGCAAGGUUAACCGAAUAGGGGAGCCGGAGGGAAACCGAGUCUUAACCGGGCGUUAAGUUGCAGGGUAUAGACCCGAAACCCGGUGAUCUAGCCAUGGGCAGGUUGAAGGUUGGGGUAACACUAACUGGAGGACCGAACCGACUAAUGUUGAAAAAUUAGCGGAUGACCUGUGGCUGGGGGUGAAAGGCCAAUCAAACCGGGAGAUAGCUGGUUCUCCCCGAAAGCUAUUUAGGUAGCGCCUCGUGAAUUCAUCUCCGGGGGUAGAGCACUGUUUCGGCUAGGGGGCCAUCCCGGCUUACCAACCCGAUGCAAACUGCGAAUACCGGAGAAUGUUAUCACGGGAGACACACGGCGGGUGCUAACGUCCGUCGUGAAGAGGGAAACAACCCAGACCGCCAGCUAAGGUCCCAAAGUCAUGGUUAAGUGGGAAACGAUGUGGGAAGGCCCAGACAGCCAGGAUGUUGGCUUAGAAGCAGCCAUCAUUUAAAGAAAGCGUAAUAGCUCACUGGUCGAGUCGGCCUGCGCGGAAGAUGUAACGGGGCUAAACCAUGCACCGAAGCUGCGGCAGCGACGCUGAUGCGUUGUUGGGUAGGGGAGCGUUCUGUAAGCCUGUGAAGGUGGCCUGUGAGGGUUGCUGGAGGUAUCAGAAGUGCGAAUGCUGACAUAAGUAACGAUAAAGCGGGUGAAAAGCCCGCUCGCCGGAAGACCAAGGGUUCCUGUCCAACGUUAAUCGGGGCAGGGUGAGUCGACCCCUAAGGCGAGGCCGAAAGGCGUAGUCGAUGGGAAACGGGUUAAUAUUCCCGUACUUGGUGUUACUGCGAAGGGGGGACGGAGAAGGCUAUGUUGGCCGGGCGACGGUUGUCCCGGUUUAAGCGUGUAGGUGUGUGUUCCAGGUAAAUCCGGUUCACUUUAACACUGAGGCGUGAUGACGAGGCACUACGGUGCUGAAGCAACAAAUGCCCUGCUUCCAGGAAAAGCCUCUAAGCAUCAGGUAACAUCAAAUCGUACCCCAAACCGACACAGGUGGUCAGGUAGAGAAUACCAAGGCGCUUGAGAGAACUCGGGUGAAGGAACUAGGCAAAAUGGUGCCGUAACUUCGGGAGAAGGCACGCUGACACGUAGGUGAAGUGAUUUACUCAUGGAGCUGAAGUCAGUCGAAGAUACCAGCUGGCUGCAACUGUUUAUUAAAAACACAGCACUGUGCAAACACGAAAGUGGACGUAUACGGUGUGACGCCUGCCCGGUGCCGGAAGGUUAAUUGAUGGGGUCAGCGCAAGCGAAGCUCCUGAUCGAAGCCCCGGUAAACGGCGGCCGUAACUAUAACGGUCCUAAGGUAGCGAAAUUCCUUGUCGGGUAAGUUCCGACCUGCACGAAUGGCGUAAUGAUGGCCAGGCUGUCUCCACCCGAGACUCAGUGAAAUUGAACUCGCUGUGAAGAUGCAGUGUACCCGCGGCAAGACGGAAAGACCCCGUGAACCUUUACUAUAGCUUGACACUGAACAUUGAGCCUUGAUGUGUAGGAUAGGUGGGAGGCUUUGAAGUGUGGACGCCAGUCUGCAUGGAGCCGACCUUGAAAUACCACCCUUUAAUGUUUGAUGUUCUAACGUGGACCCGUGAUCCGGGUUGCGGACAGUGUCUGGUGGGUAGUUUGACUGGGGCGGUCUCCUCCUAAAGAGUAACGGAGGAGCACGAAGGUUGGCUAAUCCUGGUCGGACAUCAGGAGGUUAGUGCAAUGGCAUAAGCCAGCUUGACUGCGAGCGUGACGGCGCGAGCAGGUGCGAAAGCAGGUCAUAGUGAUCCGGUGGUUCUGAAUGGAAGGGCCAUCGCUCAACGGAUAAAAGGUACUCCGGGGAUAACAGGCUGAUACCGCCCAAGAGUUCAUAUCGACGGCGGUGUUUGGCACCUCGAUGUCGGCUCAUCACAUCCUGGGGCUGAAGUAGGUCCCAAGGGUAUGGCUGUUCGCCAUUUAAAGUGGUACGCGAGCUGGGUUUAGAACGUCGUGAGACAGUUCGGUCCCUAUCUGCCGUGGGCGCUGGAGAACUGAGGGGGGCUGCUCCUAGUACGAGAGGACCGGAGUGGACGCAUCACUGGUGUUCGGGUUGUCAUGCCAAUGGCACUGCCCGGUAGCUAAAUGCGGAAGAGAUAAGUGCUGAAAGCAUCUAAGCACGAAACUUGCCCCGAGAUGAGUUCUCCCUGAGACUUAGAGUCUCCUGAAGGAACGUUGAAGACGACGACGUUGAUAGGCCGGGUGUGUAAGCGCAGCGAUGCGUUGAGCUAACCGGUACUAAUGAACCGUGAGGCUUAACCUU